GAUGAACGCUGGCGGCGUGCCUAAUACAUGCUAGUCGAGCGAACAGACGAGGAGCUUGCUCCUCUGACGUUAGCGGCGGACGGGUGAGUAACACGUGGAUAACCUACCUAUAAGACUGGGAUAACUUCGGGAAACCGGAGCUAAUACCGGAUAAUAUAUUGAACCGCAUGGUUCAAUAGUGAAAGACGGUUUUGCUGUCACUUAUAGAUGGAUCCGCGCCGCAUUAGCUAGUUGGUAAGGUAACGGCUUACCAAGGCAACGAUGCGUAGCCGACCUGAGAGGAUGAUCGGCCACACUGGAACUGAGACACGGUCCAGACUCCUACGGGAGGCAGCAGUAGGGAAUCUUCCGCAAUGGGCGAAAGCCUGACGGAGCAACGCCGCGUGAGUGAUGAAGGUCUUCGGAUCGUAAAACUCUGUUAUUAGGGAAGAACAAAUGUGUAAGUAACUAUGCACGUCUUGACGGUACCUAAUCAGAAAGCCACGGCUAACUACGUG
rnacentral:rRNA from 1 species